rnacentral:lncRNA from 1 species
GUCUCGCAUAGCCCAGGCUUAACUUGCUAUAUGGCUGAGGGUGGUCAGGAACUUCCUGAUCUUCCUACCUCCCCCUUCCAAGAGAAGGAAUUUCAGGAAAUCCAUUCCCAGGAACAUUAUGGAAAAGACAACAAUAUAAGCUGCCGCUGCAGGUUUUAUAGUUCCCAGCGAUAUAUUCCUGAGGCUUUAAUUAGAAGCUCAAAGUGACGCUGGAGUGAGGGCGCAGAGGUAAAGAACCUUUGAUACUUAUCAACUUGACUCAGCCUAGAAUCAGUAGAGGGAUUGCCUAAAUCCAGUCAGUCUGAGGAUGGAAAGGUCCGUAGCAGCAAUGUCUUGAUCAGUAAUUGAUGCUGGAGAGCCCAGCCCACUAUGGGUGGUGUCAUUCCUCUGGCAGGAAGUCCUGGAUUGGAGGGGGGAAAAAAGCAUCGUCCAGAGAUCAACCAAGAAAGUGAGUCGGUAAUCUGUAUUCCUACAUGGCUUCUGCCUUGACUUCCUGCCUUCCGUCAAUCUGGAAGAGAAUGCCAAAUAAACCUUUUCCAAGCUGCA